UACGUAGGGUCCGAGCGUUGUCCGGAAUUAUUGGGCGUAAAGGGCUCGUAGGCGGUUCGUCACGUCGGGAGUGAAAACUCGGAGCUUAACCCCGAGCCUGCUUCUGAUACGGGCAGACUAGAGGUAUGCAGGGGAGAACGGAAUUCCUGGUGUAGCGGUGAAAUGCGCAGAUAUCAGGAGGAACACCAGUGGCGAAGGCGGCUACCUGGCCCAUUCUUGACGCUGAGGCGCGAAAGCUAGGGGAGCAAACGGG
rnacentral:rRNA from 1 species